AACUACAAGCGGAGAUGGUAAAAAACAAUACAAUAGGAAGUCCGAGUUGUUGAGCAGCUGUUAUGGUGAAAGGCAAGAAGCCAUCUGAGAUGAUGCAGCUGACAGCAGGAUUAACGCUAUUUGAAGAAUCAUUGAGUUUGGCAAGCAGGUCAAGAAAUGGAUGCAACAAGACAUUAUUUAUGAUGUUUUCACCGAGAGAAUACGCGUCUUGAGCAGUGGGGCUUUCAUCUGAAGAAGCUGGAAGCCCAUCUGGGAUUGCUUCGAAUCGAAAACUGGGCAAGCCAUCUAAAGAAUGUUGGCCUCUUGCUUUGAGUAAGCGUCUGUGAUUGAACUCUGUGUUGACAAAAGUUAUGUGAAAACCUUUGUGAUGAAGAAGCUUUGCCAGUUUAAGCAUUGCUUUUAUGUGGCUUUGAAAGGGGCUCGGGAUGCAGACCGCAUGAACCUUGCUACAAGCUUUAGGUUUUGAUUCCAUCUUGAUCUCUUCUCUCUCUAGGCCUCUGCAACUAGUGAUCACCCUUCCAUUUUUUCUUAGCCACGAGUUAAAUAUCCAUUAUCCAAUAGGACUUGACUAGCCUACAGAAUCUGUAAGCUACAGACUGCAGCAUCAGCCGUUGGAUGUGGAGCGAGAAACUAAACAAUAGAAGAUCCAUCAGCCGUUGGAUGUGGAGCUACAGACUGCAGCAUCAGCCGUUGGAUGUGGAGCGAGAAACUAAACAAUAGAAGAUCGGAUGGUGGGAUGACGGGAGAUGUUUGUUACAGAAUCUGUACCAUAGACAGGUCCUAUCCAAUAUAAUUUUCAUUUUAUUUUGUUUUUCCCACCGUCCAUUGAAGCCCGACUGAGCGAGACUUUGUCAUUAAAUAAUGUUUCACUCAUUGAUCAAUUUAAUUAUAUGUUUUUUCAAAUUUAAUAUUAUUCAAUAUAGCGAAAUUUUAUUUAAAGAAUCUCGAUUAUGUGUCUUUUAAAAUUAUUAUUUCUGAUGUAACGAAGUGAAAUCACUCAUAAAGAAUUUUUUAUAAUUGCACUUGCACUCAGUUUUAUGUUCUAAAUGAUAUAUCUAACUCAUCACCCAUGGAAAAAAUUGUAAAAUUAAAAACAGCAUGACAAAUAUUAUUGAUAGAUGAUGAGUUUUUUAGAUGCAAUAAUAAUUUUUUUAAAUGCUUGUAAGUUGUAACAUCAAAGUGGUAUAUUUAUAUUGGAGUUGUGGAUUCCAGUGCAUUAUGUUUAUAAUAAAAACUAACCGUAUCAUAUUUGUCUUGCCUAAUUCUAUCUUAAUCAUAUUGAUUUGAUUAGAUCUAGUCAGCGAUUGUUUCUUUAUAAAAGAAAGUGGACAAAUGAGUCUAAUUGGAUCUUAAUGGCAUUAAUUUGAUUAGAUCUAAUCAACGAUUUUUUUAUUUAUAAUAAAAAUAACUGGACAAAUGAUACACAUUAAAGAUACUGGAAUUACAAAAUCGAUCUGUAAUAAUAAUUUGUCCACAUGCUAUAUUAAAUUUGAAAACUAUAAUUAAAUUGGUCGAUAUGAAUGAAACAUUAGUCAAUACAUUAUUCAAUGGCAGAGUCUCGCUAGUCGGAUAUGGAUGGUGGGAAAAAUAAAAUAAAAUGAAAAAUAUUUAAUUAAAUUAUUUAUUUAAUUUGUUUAAACUAUAAACUAAGAGAAAUAUUUAUUUAGUUGAGGUACUUAAUUUACAUCGAAUUGGUAUGUUAUUAAUGAAAUUUUUUAUAAGGUACAAUAAUUCAUUAUCACUUGAACCAAUCAAAUAAUGACACAUUGUUUACUAUAAUUAUUAGAUACACUAUGUAUCAUAAUUAAAUAAAUAUAACAUUAUUGACAAACUAAACUACUCCGAUGUGGCUUUUAUUUAGCUUUAGUGAAUAUGUACCGUAUAUGAAAAACUAAUGAAAAUCAAUGAAGUGGGUUUGGGAUGCGUAGGGAUGACAAUAGGUAUCGCCUGCAAGGUAUCAUUACCAAAUUUAUAUCCAUACAAAGUUUAAAUUAUCAAACUCACCCUACUAUAUGUUUUAAUUUUUUUAAGAAAAUCCACCUGCUGCGGGUUUUGACAAUUACCAAACCCGCAAUGGUAUCCGGCGAUUAUUUUACGGGUUUCUACAUUUAAAAUCACAAAUGGUCAAAAUGUAAAUUUAUAAUAAUGACCUAUAAUUCCACAUAAAUGUAAAUGGAAAAUUAAAAUUUCAACAUCAAUCCAACACAAAUUCUCAAAUUUAAGUAUAAAAUACACAAAUCUAUAUAUAUAAAAAAAGCCACAAACUAGUAUCUAAACAUAAUAAUUAUCAUUUCAUAUUAUUAUUCAACACAAACUCCAAAAGAAGAUCUUCAUUUCGUUCACCACCACUAGCACCCAUCUAACACGAUUCCUACAAUAAUGAUUAAGAUUAAUAUUUUCUAAAGAAUAAUGCAUUUUAAAUGCUAAUCCAUGCAUUAAGUUAAAGAAAAUUCAAUCAUAAUUAUAAUAAGUAUAUUUUUAGAUUUAAAUAUUUUUCUAUUCCUACAAUUUGAAGAACAAAAUUAUAACAAUGAAAUAAUCCAUGCAUUAAGUUAACGAAAGUUCAAUCAGAAUUAUAAUAAGUAUAUUUUUAGAUUGAAAUAUUUUUCUAUUAAAAUUAAAUUAAAAAAUAAUUAAAAAAAUUACGGUUGGCGGAUAUCCAUACGGGUAUCCGUAGGAUAUUUGGGUAAUACUAAACCCAACCGCAACCUAGUGCAUAUUUUAAUUUAUAAUACCAAACCUGUCUACAACCCACAAAAUUACCUGAGCGGAUUUUGGCGGGUGGGUUUAAACGGAUUUGUAGGUACCAUUGCCAUCGCUAGGUAUGCGCAGCCAAAUCAGAUUUCUAAUUCAAAACUCGGAAUGCAACUUGCCCACGACUAAUUUCGUCAACUUUUGCUAGUUAGUCAAUUUAACAAAAUGAUUAAAUGACAACUUUCCCAUCUUAUCCAUUCGACCACCUUCAAUUUUCAUUUUCUUUUUCAUUAUAAGUAGUUCGCACAAGCUUUGAUGAAGUAAAUAAAGAAAAUGGAAGCUAAUACAUGUGGUUACAAGUCUCACGCAUUUUGUUUUCCUGGCCCAGGUCAAAGCCACUUAAACUCCAUGCUUCAAUUGGCAAAGCUUCUGCACCACCACAAACAGAGGCGGAUUUACCAUAGGAUCACUGGGGGCUCAAGCCCCCACGAAAAAAAAAUCUCUAUUUCAUAAAAAAAAUUAACAUAUUUUUAAAUAGUCUUGUUAAAUUAUUAGAUAGUUCCAUCCGUUAAAAUUUAAAUUAUUAUUUUAUUAAUUACAAAAGUUAUACUUUGAUUUAAAAAUCAAAACCCACAAACUAAAAUAUUUAUAGUUUUUAAUUAUUGAAUUGUGGAUGCUACAUUUUAACUAGAGAUUGCAGUAAAUAAAAAAAAAUUACAUUCAAGUUUUCAGUUUUUAUGUCUAAUUAUUAUUUAAUUUAGCCCACGGUAAAUUAUUUUUUUACAUCUAACCACAAAAGUUUCCGCAUAACUUCUGUAAACUUUGAGAUCGUACGCAAACGCUGUCUCGAAUCAAGCGGCCAUCCCUGGAAUCCAGUCCAUAACUGAGUCCAAAUACUCUUUUUUAAGACAGCUUUCAUCUGCAAAUUAAUUAACACAAUAACUGAAUUAAUUCUCAGCUUUUGACAAGUAAUUAAUAGGUAAUAUGACCACCAACCUGUGCGCUGGUAUGUUUGGAUUGAUGAAAUCAAAAAAGAGGAGAGGAGAGGAUUUGAGAAAAGUAGAAAUAAAUAAGGGAAGUAAAGAUGAUUCCAUGUUAAGCCAACUAAAUGAAAUUGAGAUUGACAUCCUCUUUUACUCAUUUUUUCUCCUACUCUCUCCUUUCUAUUCGUCUCUUCUCCUCCUAUGUUUUUCAACCAAACAAGCUAUUUUUAAAUACCCCAGACCCAGAGCAUGAAAAAUUAUAAUAGGAAUGUUGAAAUGUCCUAGUACGACAAAAAACUUGAAAUUUUUUUUACCUUUUAGUGGGAAAAGACCCUUUUCUUUCAGUGUCUGAAAUUGUUUAAGUCCCUUGAAACUGCAAGCGGAGAUUGUGAAAAACAAUGCACUAGGAAGUCCAAGUCGUUGAGCAGCUGUAAUGGUGAAAGCCAUGAAGUCAUCUGAGAUGAUGCAGCUGACUGCAGGGUUAACAUUAUUUGAAGAAUCACUGAGUUUGGCAAGCAGGUCAAGAAAUGGCUGCAGCAAGACAUCAUUUAUGAUGUUUUCACAGAGAGAAUACAUGUCUUGAGUAGUGGAGCUUUCAUAUGAAGAAGCUGGAAGGCCAUCUGGUAGGGGUGGGCACGGGUCCGAUUGAUUAUCAACCCGACCCAACCCGCAUGUAGAAUGGGUUGAAAAUUUUCAAUCCGACUCAACCUAUUACAUAUCUUGACCCAAUCCGUAGUUUUGCGAGUUGGGUCAGGUUGGGUUGAUUGGGUUGAACUUUUGAAAAAAUCUAUUUUUAUAAUCUAAUUAAAUAGUGAAUAAAAAUUAAUUAAUUAAUUAAAAAAACUAAAAAAUAUAAAUAUUAAAAUCUUUAGAACAAAUCCAACAUUUCAAAGUUUUUAUAUUUAUAUUUUUUAAUUUUUAUAUGAAAUAUCAAAAUUUAUAUAAUAAUUUUUACAUACAUACAGGUUGACCGGUUGGAUGAGGUUAAUUGAAUUGAGCUUUUGAAAAAAUCUAUUGUUAUAGUCUAAUUAAAUAGUGAACAAAAAUAAAUAAAUUAGAUAAACUUAAAAAAUGUAAAUAUUAAAAUCUUUAGAACUAAUCCAACAUUUCAAACUUUUCAUAUUUAUAUUUUUUAAUUUUUAUAUAAAAUAUCAAAGUUUAUAUAAUAAUUUAUAUAUGUAAAUAUAUAGGGGUUGACGGGUUGAGUUGAGUUAAAAAAUUUUAACCCAACCCAACCCGCAAAAAAUCACACGAGUUGGGUGGGUUGAUGCCCACCCCUACCAUCUGGGAUUGCUUCGAAUCGAAAAUUGGGCAAGCCAUCCAAAGAGUGGUGGCCUCUUGAUUUGAGAAAGCAUCUAUGAUUGAACUCUGUGUUGACACAAGUUAUGUGAAAGCCUUUGUGAUGAAGAAGCUUUGCCGAUUGAAGCAUUGCUUUUAUGUGGCUUUGAAAGGGGCUUGGGAUGCAGACUGCAUGAACCUUGCUACAAGCUUUUAGCUUUUGAUUCCAUCUUGAUCUCUUCUCUCUAUGUCUUUGCAAUUAAUGAUCUAAAAGUACUAAAACGAAAAGUAUUGCAUCUAACUAAACACUGAGUUCACUCACACAUUUACAACCUUUCUUACCUUAUUUAAUUUGGAGAGAGUUAAUGAGUACGUAUAUAUUAACUUAAAAAAAAAAUUAAAGUUGGUUGGUAUGAAUGGUUCAGCACCCUAAUUUCUUAAGAGAGGUCAAGGGUUCAAGCCCCGCUCUCAUAUGUACGUAUAUGUACUAAACUAAUUAAUUAAUGUGUGUAUAUACUAACCUAAUAAAAAGUAAUGUCUUUCCCAAAUAUCUCAUGAUUUUUCAAUAAGGGAAUUAAAUGCACUCAUGCCAUAAGUCGGGUGGUGAACACUCUUUCCUCUAUGGUGGAGGUAUAAUUAAGCUGGAGUGUCUACGAGGGACUCAUCCUAUCUCAUAAAUAUCAUUUGAGUAGGAUAAAUCACGUUUGUAUAUAUGAUCUAGGUAGACCUCUAAAUUAUACUAAUGCAAAGAUAUUGCCAUAUAAAAUUGAAGUAAAAACAAAAACUUACGAAUCACCUUACCAGUAAUUCAGGUAGAACUAAUAGCACAUUCACAUGCAUGGAAUAUAUAGCACAUAUAUAUGUCAACUAAUAAAACUUUAAUAACUAACCAAUUUGGAUUUGAGAGAGAAAGGAGCUAUACAAUAAUGUAAAAUGAUGAGUUUUUAGAAUGAUAAACUUCAAUUUACACUCUAUUUAGAAUGAUAAUUUGUAAUUAACCUCAAAAAUGGGAAAAUUUUAUUUUACCUCAUUUACUGUUAAGAAGACAAAAAGAAAAAAAAAAUCAUCAACGUGUCUCUUAUUUCUCCUCAUCUUUUAGUUUACGUUUUGGGUUGUUGAUGAAGACUUCGUUUCCCAAGACCAAAAUACUCACUGGCUCAAACUGAUUAUGUUUUAACUAUUGAACGUUGAUUGAUAAUAAAAUGUGGGUGCAUGUCAAUUGGUGGUUCAAUGGGUAAAAUCCGUUAAAUCUCCAAUGGUGGUAUGAGAAGGUUACUCAUAUUUGAGGAGAGGAUUUUGGUUACAAGAAGUGGACUGUCCUUUGAGAAAAAAACAUUCAACAUAUUAACAUAAUUCUUAUUAAUCUUAUGCACUAAUACUCACCAACAAUUAUUUUAAAAAUGAUAAGAAGACCAAGCUCUCAUAAUGCAGUACAACAAUGAAAACAUUUAAUUUACACUCCUCAUUGGAUGCAUUAGUUUUUGGACGGUAUGAGCCCUUCUGAUAAAAGAACUUGGUUCAUCAAUUUUUCCAAAUUUGUUGCAGAGGAUCCAUCAGGAGCUGUAGCUUCCUCUGCAAAUCUCUUCCACUUUGAGGCCUUGUUUCUCAUUUGCUUACCUUUCUCUCCCCCCAUCAAUUCUCUCACCUGCUUCUCAACCUCAUUUCUACUCACUCGAUUAUCAUCUCCACCAUUAAUGAUCUCCAGUCCAACUCCCCACUCGUUGCAAGUGUAUCUACAAUUUGUGGGUUGAUCUCCCAAAAAAGGCCAACAGAUCAUCGGCACACCAGCACAUAAACUCUCAAUCGUUGAAUUCCAUCCACUGUGAGUAAAGAAUCCUCCGAUCGCUGGGUGGUUCAGAACCUCCUCUUGUGGACACCAACUUGCUAUGAAACCUUUCUCUUUAGCUUUAACCUCAAACUCAGCUGGCAAGUCGGCCGUCUCACCAGUAACAAGAUCAGGCCUAAUUAUCCAUAAAAAUGGGUGAUUGCUAUUUACGAGUCCCAUUGCAACCUCAAUAAGUUGCUGCUUAUUCAUAAUUAUAAUACUUCCGAAAUUUACAUAAAUCACAGAGUUGGGUUCCUUGGAAUCGAGCCAUUGCAAACACUCUGUUUCUUCUUUCAAUAGAUUGUAACCAAUAUAGUUUAACAUACCAUCUUUUUCUUCUAUUUGAUUGAGAAGAAGCUGAAGUGGGCCGAUGGUGAAUAACUGAAGAGGAAAAAUAAAUGAGAGAGCAUUUAGAACUUGUUGUUCCAAUGCAUCGAACGUAUGAAUAAUAAUUGCUGAAGCUUUGGAUGCAUUUUCCGUUGCUUCCACGCACAAGUUGAACAUAAUGUCUUUUGAAUCAGUCGAUCGAACAAAACUUGGAAGAUCUCUAAUUCGGAUAUCCUUCAUCCCUGGAAUCCAGUCUAUAAGUCUGCUCAAAUACUCCUUCGUAAGACAGCUUUUGUCUGCAAGUGCACAAAACCGAAUUAUAUUUUUGCUUCCGUCUGCAUUCAUAUUUAUACUUGAUCGCCAGUGAUUCUAUGUCACAGCUACUAAAGAUAACAUGAAAAAACAUUGAAACUUUGAUUCCAGAAAAAGGAAAAAGAAAAAAGAAAAAUACCAUUGACUGGGAAAAGACCUUUUUCUUUGAAUGUCCGGAAUUGUUUAAAUCCCAUGAAGCUACAAGCGGAGAUGGUGAACAACAGUACAAUAGGAAGUCCAAGCUGCUGAGCAGCUGUAACGGUGAAAGGCAAGAAGCCAUCUGAGAUGAUGCAGCUGACUGCAGGAUUCACAAUAUUUGAAGAAUCGUUGAGUUUGGCAAGCAGGUCAAGAAAUGGAUGCAACAAGACAUUAUUCAUGAUGCUUUCACAGAGAGAAUACAUGUCUUGAGUAGUGGAGCUUUCAUCUGAAGAAGCUGGAAGGCCAUCUGGGAUUGCUUCGAAUCGAAAGUUGGGCAAGCCAUCCAAAGAGUGUU
rnacentral:lncRNA from 1 species